AUCUGCGAUAAGCGCCGGUAAGGUGAUAUGAACCGUUAUAACCGGCGAUACCCGAAUGGGGAAACCCAGUGUGAUUCGUCACACUAUCAUUAACUGAAUCCAUAGGUUAAUGAGGCGAACCGGGGGAACUGAAACAUCUAAGUACCCCGAGGAAAAGAAAUCAACCGAGAUUCCCCCAGUAGCGGCGAGCGAACGGGGAGGAGCCCAGAGCCUGAAUCAGCAUGUGUGUUAGUGGAAGCGUCUGGAAAGGCGCGCGAUACAGGGUGACA
rnacentral:rRNA from 1 species